rnacentral:rRNA from 1 species
ACGGCAGCGCGGGGCACCUGGCGGCGAGUGGCGAACGGGUGAGUAAUAUAUCGGAACGUACCCAAGAGUGGGGGAUAACGUAGCGAAAGUUACGCUAAUACCGCAUACGAUCUAUGGAUGAAAGUGGGGGAUUCGCAAGAACCUCAUGCUCCUGGAGCGGCCGAUAUCUGAUUAGCUAGUUGGUGAGGUAAAGGCUCACCAAGGCGACGAUCAGUAGCUGGUCUGAGAGGACGACCAGCCACACUGGAACUGAGACACGGUCCAGACUCCUACGGGAGGCAGCAGUGGGGAAUUUUGGACAAUGGGCGCAAGCCUGAUCCAGCAAUGCCGCGUGAGUGAAGAAGGCCUUCGGGUUGUAAAGCUCUUUUGUCAGGGAAGAAACGGUUGAGGCUAAUAUCCUCGGCUAAUGACGGUACCUGAAGAAUAAGCACCGGCUAACUACGUGCCAGCAGCCGCGGUAAUACGUAGGGUGCAAGCGUUAAUCGGAAUUACUGGGCGUAAAGCGUGCGCAGGCGGUUUUGUAAGUCUGUCGUGAAAGCCCCGGGCUCAACCUGGGAAUUGCGAUGGAGACUGCAAGGCUUGAAUCUGGCAGAGGGGGGUAGAAUUCCACGUGUAGCAGUGAAAUGCGUAGAGAUGUGGAGGAACACCGAUGGCGAAGCAGCCCCCUGGGUCAAGAUUGACGCUCAUGCACGAAAGCGUGGGGAGCAAACAGGAUUAGAUACCCUGGUAGUCCACGCCCUAACGAUGUCUACUAGUUGUCGGGUUUAAUUUACUUGGUAACGCAGCUAACGCGUGAGUAGACCGCCCUGGG